GAUCCUGGCUCAGGAUGAACGCUAGCUACAGGCUUAACACAUGCAAGUCGAGGGGCAGCAUGAAGUUUGCUUGCAAACUUGAUGGCGACCGGCGCACGGGUGAGUAACGCGUAUCCAACCUUCCCCUUAGUAGCGGAUAGCCCGGCGAAAGUCGGAUUAAUACGCUAUGUUCUUCGUAGAGGACAUCUGAAAUGAAGCAAAGGUUUACCGCUAAGGGAUGGGGAUGCGUCUGAUUAGGCAGUAGGCGGGGUAACGGCCCACCUAGCCGACGAUCAGUAGGGGUUCUGAGAGGAAGGUCCCCCACAUUGGAACUGAGACACGGUCCAAACUCCUACGGGAGGCAGCAGUGAGGAAUAUUGGUCAAUGGGCGCGAGCCUGAACCAGCCAAGUAGCGUGCAGGAUGACGGCCCUAUGGGUUGUAAACUGCUUUUAUACAGGGAUAAAGUGCGCCACGUGUGGUGUUUUGUAGGUACUGUAUGAAUAAGGACCGGCUAAUUCCGUGCCAGCCGCUGC
rnacentral:rRNA from 1 species